CAGACAGCGGCGGUCGCGGGGAACUCGGGCAGCCCUCUGGGGUAGCCGCCGAGCGCCCGUGCCCCACUACCUGCCGCUGCCUCGGGGACCUGCUGGACUGCAGUCGUAAGCGGCUAGCGCGUCUUCCCGAGCCACUCCCGUCCUGGGUCGCUCGGCUGGACUUAAGUCACAACAGAUUAUCUUUCAUCAAGGCAAGUUCCAUGAGCCACCUUCAAAGCCUUCGGGAAGUGAAACUGAACAACAAUGAAUUGGAGACCAUUCCAAAUCUGGGACCAGUCUCGGCAAAUAUUACACUUCUCUCCUUGUAAGUGAAUAUCAGCAGAAUUCCUCAUGUAUGUUUGCAGGAACCUUGAGUGGGAGUUCCAUAGGGACUAGCAUAGAGAUCUUAGAAGAAAAAAUGGAAUAUUUUCUUCAGGGCAUAGUACAGAUAUGCUCUUUAAAUUGGUUAACUUGUUUUCUAGCCUCUAACUCUGUCACCGCUAAAUUUCAUGUAUUCUUAUAACAACACACUUUACACUUUGCUGUUGUUGCUGAACUGGUCUUCGAGAUUCAAAGGGGCCAGCUUUACACCAUAGAAAUGUGUAUUUUAUCAUAUUCUAUAGACUAGGACUUUAAUUCUGGUAUUAUUGAAUGGUUGGCAUGGGGAUCUGUGGGUUACAUAUUACGUAGUUCCUAGUGGAGAAUGAUCAGAGUUCCUUUGUGAGGAGAAACUGGAGUUGAGAAUAAGCCAUUGGAGUAUCCUCUUUUAAGUGUGGUACCUGCAGUGGAAAUCAGAGUUCAGAGACAUCAA
rnacentral:sRNA from 1 species